rnacentral:rRNA from 1 species
CCGCACGGGUGAGUAACACGUAUCCAACCUGCCGUCUACUCUUGGACAGCCUUCUGAAAGGAAGAUUAAUACAAGAUGGCAUCAUGAGUUCACAUGUUCACAUGAUUAAAGGUACUCCGGUAGACGAUGGGGAUGCGUUCCAUUAGAUAGUAGGCGGGGUAACGGCCCACCUAGUCUUCGAUGGAUAGGGGUUCUGAGAGGAAGGUCCCCCACAUUGGAACUGAGACACGGUCCAA